UGCUGGGGGCACCGCAGUGGGGCAGAGCCUCUGAGGUCAGGGAGCAAAGGCAGGGCUCAGCAGCUGUGCAGAAUGGUCCCGCUGGCCACAACAGGGACUCGGUGGCCCUUAGGCACUCGAAUCCCAGAGCUGAGGCUGAGCUUGCUGCAGGCCCCACUCCAACAGAAGCAAAUUGAGUCCGUGGUUUAUGCUAGGCCUGCAUUGUGAUUGCAAACCUUGGGAAGCUUGCUAGCAGCUGGUUUGUUCUGUGUUACCCUUUGGCUUGACCUCCCAUUGUUAGCUCAUUGGCCCCGUGAGCGCGGGUCUCUGAUGGUGUUGUUUUCUGCACAUCCACUGGAAAGCUGUCUUAAUGAUCCACUUCUUUUAGAGUGCAAAGUUGGCCUGUUCCUCCCAGACCUCAGGGCUGGAGGCCCGACUCUGGUCCGCCUCUUCCACAAGGAAGGGCAUGGACCAUAGUGCCUGUACUGCCCCACAGGACUCCAGGGCACAUCUGGGUCAACUUCUGGGACAUCCUUUGCUACAAACCAAGGUUUUUCUGCUCACUCCUACAUGCUGCUGCUCUGGGCAAGAACAUAGUGACAUUAACCCUGCAGCCUGCCGGCUGGCCUUCCCCACCUGAGCUCUGGAGACCCUGCUGUUGUGGAAGGCAAGGAUGUUGGAGAAUAGGAGGUACCCAAGCCUCCUGCCUGUCUUAAGGUAGUUCUAUAGAUACUGGUGAUCUGGAAACAAACAGGUAAUUCCCUAAGCCCCGGCUCUUACAGAAUGUUCAAGAAAGUAUCCUGUGUUAAUAUUAAUGCCAAAAAAAUACUGUUUUUAAAUUUUGUCUUCAACACAUGUAUGAAUAUGUUGUCAUUUUGAGCAGUUGGUAACUGGGUGCCCUUGUGUGCUGUUUUUGUUGAUGUGUCAUUGAGUUGUAUGCUGUGCCUGUCACAUGUUCAUACUGUCCAUAACGUGUUGUUAAGGCUUUAAGUAGAAGCAUCUGGCAAACCAUGGAGCGAGAACACCAGUUGUCUCGAUGGAAACAGCCCUGUCUCUUUCUUGUUUAUUUAAAGCAAUAAAUGACCUGAGU
rnacentral:lncRNA from 1 species